rnacentral:lncRNA from 1 species
ACAGACACUUCCCCUUCGUCUCUCCCAGCGAACCCAAGCACACCCAAAAUCCUAGCGCCGCCGUGACACCCCAUCACCGACGGCAACCAUCCCUUUCACCACCAAAUCAAUACCCCUGAACCCCCUAACUCCCUUCUCCAUGAAUCCAUGCCCCAUUAACUUCGAAUCACAUUGUAGCUCCUCGAAUCUUCAAUCGAAGAUUCGAGUAAAAUAUGAAACCAUCCCAACCGGCCCCAAACUCACCCCAAUCACUCCCCUAGCCUCCCUCAUCACCAAAUCAUGGCUAUUUUGGUUCGAAUCUGACCCAAACUCCUCGAACCCCAAAUUCGAGCCUCAAGAAUCCUAGAAAAAUCGAGACUGGUUUUUGCCCGAUUUGAAGAACUUUGGGUGUUCAAUGGACUUUAGUUGAUGUGUUCUCAGUUGAGAACACUCAACUAAAGUACGUUUGGCCUCAAAAGUAUGAAACCCAUUUGGACCGAGGUCAUUUUCUUCUGGUUCUUUUUGAGGUAUCUUUUUUCCUUUUUUCUUCAAAUCUUCUGAUUGUUCCUAUGUUGUUUUUUUGUUUAGAUUCAUUGUAGUAACUAUUUUCCAAAUUUUUUCUUUUUAGCCGAAUGUUCUGUUCUUACCCCAUAAGACCUUUUCUUUGGUCAAUUGUAUUCUGUUUGUUGAUUGUGGUUGUCAUAGGAUACCAUUUUUGAUUCGAUUAAUAUCGUCGAAAAUUCAGUUUUGUAUUCUUCUUGUUUGUCCGAAUGCCAUGAGUCCACUGUUGGGUUUUGAUUAUUUGCUAUCGAUUAUAUGUUUGUAGUCGAUUAGGUAAAUGUUGUCGAUUAGUCGUAUAUGUUUGUUUUGUAGAACAAUAUUAACAAUAAUGUCAUUAAUGUUGUUGUCAAUCAUUUAACAUGAAUCACUGUUUUGGCCAGAAUUAUUGUUUGAAUUUAGGUUUAAAUUAGUUAUAGCUGAAGUUAGGAAGCUGAAUUGGCUAUAUCUGAAUUGAAUUUAGGUACAAUUUUAAUAGGGAUUUUCGGAGUUUAGUCUAAGCGGGCUGUCAGUUGAGCAUGUGUGAGUCAUUGGAGGUAAUCAUAGUGCAUAUACACCCUGUCUAACAUCUUUAGGAGUAAAGUCAGAUGUAGAUUGAUUUUAAUAUUGAAAAGCUGAAAAUGCACAUUAGAAUGGUAGUGGAACCUGCUGUACAGUAGGAUAUUCACUACACUUUUGUAUUCCAGAAAUUUUAAAAUAAGAAGCUCCUUACUUAGACAAUUUUAAGUUGAAAAACAGAAGAAUAAUAUGGAAUCUGUCAGUUUUUAAAUGAAGUUAACAGGUUGUACAGUUUGGCUAUAUAAGAGAAGGUUUCAGAUUAGUUGAGGGGAGGGGUUUUGAGAUCAGUUUUAGAAGUCUUUUGAUAAAUCAGAAAAAAGAUAUUCAAAACAGCAGAAGAAACCACUGUUUCCAUUCUUUCUUUCAGUCAGUUUUUUUUUGAAAAAUCAGAAAAAGGUUUUGAGAGCAAAAAAAACUGUUCCAUUGGUUUCUCUUCUUUGAGUUUGAAGUUUUUCAGUGAUUAUCUUUUGAUCCUUUUUCAAUUCUAAAAAAGAGACAAUAACUUGUGACUUACUUGGAGCUUUAUAGUGACUUGAUAUUGGUUUUCCUCUGGAAAUUUUAGGUGUAGAAGUGUUGAAACUAUUGUGUCAUUGGGUUUUGAGGAACAACUUCCUGGAAAUCCACUGUUCCAUUGAUUUCAGGAUUGAAGUGGUUGGUUUUGGUUUUGAAUCUGGGCUGUCCUAAGUUGCUGUUUACUGCUUCUAAUUGCUGCUGUUGGAUACUGCUUCCUCACUUCUUUUCAUAGUCAUAUUCCAGGUACACUAUUUGUCUCUAAUGAUGUGAAGCUUCACUCAUUGUACAUGAACAAUUGUGAAAUAAACUCGAUGCAGCAGUCCUACAAUACGAAUCUAUUUUUAUGUUCUCAUUAUUAGUUUAAUACGUAGCUGUAGUUUCAUUUGAAUAGAUAAUUAUUAACUUUAAACAGUUUGUAUUAACUAAGACUGCUCAAACUCAUCUUUGUAGUUGUCUUGAACUGUAUGAACUGUCAUAUCUUAGGUCUGUUAGAGCCUUUGAAUUGAAAAGCGAUUUCAUGUUAGGUUGAUAGAAUAGAUUAUGUUAAUUUAAUUUCUGUUAAGCUACUCCAUAUGUCUGUUAGUUAGCUGUAGUAUGACUGUCUUAGGAGUUGUCUAGGACUGUGUUGAAUUUCAAUAAAAGCAGAUGUCUUGCUCAAUGAUAGAAGAUUGUAGAUCUGUUAAGUUUUCAAGUUUAAUUUGCUUCCGGAAGUUAGUGUAGAAUGAGCACUAACUUUAAAAAUCAUAAUCUUCAAUUAGAAAUUCAAAGGUCAUGAUUUGUUAGUAACCAUAAUAUGGCUAGUUUGGGUGUCACCAAUGAAGUGAGGUAUAUGGUAUAACAAUCAUUUUAAGUUGCUACAACUUGCUCAUUACUCAAAUCGAAAAGGAAGAACAUCUAAUUACAUGUGCAUUCACGUAGCAUUUUUCAAUUAUAGCAAGCCGGCUAAUUAAUUGGUUAGGAUCCUAAGAAAUACUCGGCCAACUUGAGAUAGUCUAACCAUCUUUAGAACAAGCAUCAGUACUUGAAGUUAAUUUUAGUUGCCAAUAGCUUUAAAUAAUUAAUU